GCCCGCCCCACACAGUCACAGAGGGGCCAGCCUGGCUGGAGCUCCCAGGCAGGGGGUGCUGCCCACACCCAGCCCCACUCCCAGCACGGCUCGGGGUGUGCUGGAAGCCCUCGCCAGCAGCAAUCAUGGUUAUGCAAGGCAGGAGCUUGACAGAGUGCCAGUUCUGCAUGCUGAAAAUUGAAAGCGAUCGACUUCCACCUUGCGCAUCAGGAUGCUCAGUUCUACCAGGCAGGAUGCUCCUCCUGGGAGCAGGACUGGCAGACCAGGAAAGCCCAGGAGUUAGCAGAGAAGAUUUCCUGAAGGAAUCUCAUCUGUAUGAGGAAUCCUUGGGUGCAGGGCCAAACCAGCACGUGGUUUCAGGAGCCCAAACAAAAUUAGGGAAGAAAAAGGUGCAAAUAUCCCAGGAAUGUGCCCAGCAGUCUUUUGUGAGGAUUGGACAUAUCAAGCUGUUUGAGAGAUGCAGACAUAAAUUCACACCUAAUACUAGUGGAGCGAUG